UUGGGGAGGGAGACCACUCCUGACGUCAGAUGCAGGGGUGUGGCUAGCCGGCCCCCUGCAACUGAUAUCAGAUGCAGGGGGCAGGGCCAGGGGGCUGCGGCGGUGGCCGAACACAAGCCUCUGCUAGCCUCCCUCCUCUCCUGGUUACUAGUCUGAGGACUACAGGCCACCUCCAGCCUCCAGCUUUUCUUAUUUAUUUGGACUGCUUCGUUCAUUUCAACAGGAGAUAAUUUAUCUUUGUAUAGACGUUUCUCUACAUAAAAAGAUUGAGUAGCUCCAUUAAAAUCAAAUAAAUAAUUAUUUGACAAAUCAAAUAAAUCAUCAUCAUCAUCAUAAAAGAAUGGAGAAGCAUUUGCAGAAGAGGCAACUGUGGGUGAGUGGAGAAGAAUGUCUUCUUCAGGCAGCAACCAUCGGCUCAGGGCACACACUGACUCACCUCUCUUUUGAUCACAUAAUAACAGGCUUUGGUUCAAGAGCAACUUAGAGAAGUGUUUGUUUAGAAGUGUCCAUACAUCCCUUUCCAUGUGUGGAGUGGUGAGUGUCUGGCAUCUGGGCCAUGGCAUCUAUGCACUCAGUGGAACAUGAGCAAGGUUGGGGUUUCCGUUGACAGAGGCCCUCCUGCUGAACUGACCCACUGAGCGGGUGCAGUGGCCUCCAAAAUGGCCGCUGUGCCCAGGAAUAGGCCUGGAAAGGGCUGAAGAUGCCUGAACUGGGUGAUUUCUAAUAGAAGGAAAGCCGGCAGGGGGGAAGGGGGGGACUUCUGUGGGAUAACCCCCACCACCACAUUGGAGAAGCCUCCCAGAGGGGCAGGCCUACCAUCUCCUUGACCUUGGAAAUCAAUGCCAGCCACCCACAGAACCUCACCUUACUACUCUUUAAUGCCAGGUCGGAUCAAAAUAAACCUGAGGUAGUCCAUGACUUGAUUAUGGAUGAAGGAGUCGACUUGGGCUUCAUCUAUUCCUUUUUACAUCAAAGCAUAACUGGCUGCCCUAUUCGCAUACAAAAUGGCUGGAUUUGGUUUACAAUGUGAACCAAUCAGAAGUGGAACAAACAAUUGUGGCGGAGAGCAGAAAGCAUCAACAUUUUCACAAGUGAUGUUAGGAACAUUAUUUGAAUUUCCCAUACGUGUAAAGCAUACGAAAAAAGAUGCAUUGGUCAGAAAAUGCAUUUGACUUGCAAGUAGCUGUCUUCCACUUGCUACAUUUGCAUUAACAACAUCCAACCAAGAGUUGUCCAUGUGAAGAAUAUGCCCAUGUGCCUGCAGAGGAGAAAGGUGAUUUUUGGUUAUCCCCCUUCCCUCUCCAGCCACUUGUGCCUCCUAAAAAUGUUCCUGAGGUUUUGGGACCCUUGGGGAUAUAUUUUCAGGGGGUACAGGGGAAAUGAUGGCUAACAAGCAGAAAGUUGCUGGUUCGAAUCCCCGCUGGUACUAUAUCGGGCAGCAGCAAUAUAGGAAGAUGCUGAAAAGGAGGAGGCAAUGGUAAACCCCUCCUGUAUUCUACCAAAGAAAACCACAGGGCUCUGUGGGUGUCGACUUGACGGCACACUUUACCUUUAUAGGAAGAUACAGAGUAGGGGUAUGUAUGGACCAAAAAUUGUGGUUUGGCUCAAAUCUGGUGAGGAUUCCCCUUUACAAGUAAAGGGGUGGGGGUCCUGGCUCCUGGUUGCUUCUCUUAUUGCUUAAGGGGCAGCCAGAGGAGUGGCGAGAG